rnacentral:rRNA from 1 species
UACGGGGGGUGCGAGCGUUGUCCGGAAUCACUGGGCGUAAAGGGCGCGUAGGUGGUUUGAUAAGGGUGUGGUGAAAGUCCGGAGCUCAACUCCGGAUCUGCCGUGCCGACUGUCAAACUCGAGGGCUGUAGAGGCAGACGGAAUUCCGGGUGUAGCGGUGGAAUGCGUAGAUAUCGGGAGGAACACCUGUGGCGAAAGCGGCUCUCUGGACCACAACUGACGCUGAGGCGCGAAAGCUAGGGGAGCAAACAGG